rnacentral:rRNA from 1 species
CCUACGGGUGGCAGCAGUGAGGAAUAUUGGGCAAUGGGCGUAAGCCUGAACCAGCCAAGUCGCGUGAGGGAAGAAUGCCCUAUGGGUGGUAAACCUCUUUUAUGCGGGGAUAAAGGUGGCCACGUGUGGAUGUUUGCAGGUACCGCAUGAAUAAGGACCGGCUAAUUCCGUGCCAGCAGCCGCGGUAAUACGGAAGGUCCGGGGGUUAUCCGGAUUUAUUGGGUUUAAAGGGAGCGUAGGCCGGUCUUUAAGCGUGCCGUGAAAUUUUGUGGCUCAACCAUGGGAGUGCGGCGCGAACUGGAGACCUUGAGUGCGCGGAAGGCAGGCGGAAUUCGUGGUGUAGCGGUGAAAUGCUUAGAUAUCACGAAGAACCCCGAUUGCGAAGGCAGCCUGCCGCAGCGUUACUGACGCUGAAGCUCGAAAGCGCGGGUAUCGAACAGGAUUAGAUACCCCUGUAGUC